rnacentral:rRNA from 1 species
AGACCCGAAACCCGGUGAUCUAGCCAUGGGCAGGUUGAAGGUUGGGUAACACUAACUGGAGGACCGAACCGACUAAUGUUGAAAAAUUAGCGGAUGACCUGUGGCUGGGGGUGAAAGGCCAAUCAAACCGGGAGAUAGCUGGUUCUCCCCGAAAGCUAUUUAGGUAGCGCCUCGUGAAUUCAUCUCCGGGGGUAGAGCACUGUUUCGGCUAGGGGGCCAUCCCGGCUUACCAACCCGAUGCAAACUGCGAAUACCGGAGAAUGUUAUCACGGGAGACACACGGCGGGUGCUAACGUCCGUCGUGAAGAGGGAAACAACCCAGACCGCCAGCUAAGGUCCCAAAGUCAUGGUUAAGUGGGAAACGAUGUGGGAAGGCCCAGACAGCCAGGAUGUUGGCUUAGAAGCAGCCAUCAUUUAAAGAAAGCGUAAUAGCUCACUGGUCGAGUCGGCCUGCGCGGAAGAUGUAACGGGGCUAAACCAUGCACCGAAGCUGCGGCAGCGACACUCAGGUGUUGUUGGGUAGGGGAGCGUUCUGUAAGCCUGUGAAGGUGUGCUGUGAGGCAUGCUGGAGGUAUCAGAAGUGCGAAUGCUGACAUAAGUAACGAUAAAGCGGGUGAAAAGCCCGCUCGCCGGAAGACCAAGGGUUCCUGUCCAACGUUAAUCGGGGCAGGGUGAGUCGACCCCUAAGGCGAGGCCGAAAGGCGUAGUCGAUGGGAAACGGGUUAAUAUUCCCGUACUUGGUGUUACUGCGAAGGGGGGACGGAGAAGGCUAUGUUGGCCGGGCGACGGUUGUCCCGGUUUAAGCGUGUAGGUGUGUGUUCCAGGUAAAUCCGGUUCACUUUAACACUGAGGCGUGACGACGAGGCACUACGGUGCUGAAGCAACAAAUGCCCUGCUUCCAGGAAAAGCCUCUAAGCAUCAGGUAACAUCAAAUCGUACCCCAAACCGACACAGGUGGUCAGGUAGAGAAUACCAAGGCGCUUGAGAGAACUCGGGUGAAGGAACUAGGCAAAAUGGUGCCGUAACUUCGGGAGAAGGCACGCUGACAUGUAGGUGAAGUGAUUUACUCA